CUGGAGGGUGGGUGGGCUCAUAGUCGGAUAGUAUGUGAAAUCUCUGACUAGAGUUUCCACUCAUCCUCGGGUG